AGAGAGAAAAUAUGCUCCGGACAAGUGAUUUCAGACAUGGAUGGACAGACAGACUGAUUACCAAAAAGUGCCCACAGAGCAGCACCUUAAUUAAUUUUCACUUUCUUUCAGUGUUCAUUUUGAAAGCAUUUUAACUAAACACUUUGGAUACUAAAAGCCAAGAAUCGUCAAACCUCAUGUCAGUUCCUUUGUGUGUUCAACUUAAAAGUAGAUUACCAUCACCUUAGAAACCUACAUUCUGCAUUUAAUGUUUAUCUUUUAAAAAUCUGUUUAGCCUUUUCAUUUUGAUCUGUACAAUUUUCAGGAUCAACAAACCUAAAUAAUUUCGCAACAUUCGGACAUCAAGAUAUAUCAAUCAAAAAGUAGGUUACAGUAACCUACUUUCAGUAUUCUACAGCUAUUCAUAGUCAAAUCUCUAGCUUUAAUAAUCACCAAACUUUGUUUGUGGGUGUAUCUAACAAGAUCAAUACCUGCAUUUGUCCUAAAAAUAAGUCACAAAUGCCUACUUUUCGUCUUAAUCAUUAUUUAUUGUCCAAAUUUUUUCUUUAAUAUUUUGAGACUUAUAAGAUAAUAUAAAACUGGUCAGUUGAUGCAUCUUGGAACUUCUGGUCUGACGUUCCAAAUGUAGGUUUCCAUUAUCUAAAUUUCAUACUUUCAAUGUUUGUAUUCAUUGUCAACUCUUGGAGGGUAUGAACAUUUUCUAUAGUUUUACAAUGGUUUUUGGAAGAGUUUCAUAUUAAACAAAUUUAGAAAGGAAUACAAGAACUCAAGUUCAGGUAACAGGGUAUGUGAGCAAUGUGGCCCAUGAGCCUUUUGAUAUGUCCCUGUUGUUGUAUGGGGAGAAAAAACCCAUUUAGGACACUGUAUGUAUACACAUGAAAAUGUUUUUAAAUUUUGAAUUGAAAUUACGUACUGGUAACUACUCAAAAGUUUCCUGAAAUCAGUGUGUGCAAUGUAUAAAGGGUCCUUACAGAUUUUAAAUUUGCUGCUCUAAAAAGUUGGUUAUGGCAAAGUAGGAAACAGUACUAGUAGUAUUUAUUUUGACUGCAAAUAAGUGUUCAAAUAAUAAAAUAAUGCAAUCUGACAAUGUCAGUAAUUUGGCAAGC
rnacentral:misc_RNA from 1 species